rnacentral:rRNA from 1 species
CUCACAUAUAAACCAGGAUUAGAUACCCUAUUAUAUUUAAACAAAUUGGGUAGUAUUAUUAAUAAAAACCUUUAUACUUUGGCGGCAUUUUAUCUUAUUAGAGGAAUAUGUUCAUUAAUCGAAACCACACGAUAGUUUUUACUUACUAUAAAAUUUUAUAUACCCCCGUCUAAAGAAUUUAUUUAAAAUUUUUAUUCCAAAUUAUAUUAAAAAAA